rnacentral:rRNA from 1 species
GACGAACGCUGGCGGCGUGCUUAACACAUGCAAGUCGAACGAGAAUCUACUGAAAGAGUUUUCGGACAAUGGAAGUAGAGGAAAGUGGCGGACGGGUGAGUAACGCGUGAGGAACCUGCCUUGAAGAGGGGGACAACAGUUGGAAACGACUGCUAAUACCGCAUGACGGAUAGGGGCCGUAUGAUCUUUAUGACAAAGAUUCUAACUUCAAGAUGGCCUCGCGUCUGAUUAGCUGGUUGGCGGGGUAACGGCGCACCAAGGCGACGAUCAGUAGACGGACUGAGAGGUUGAACGGCCACAUUGGGACUGAGAUACGGCCCAGACUCCUACGGGAGGCAGCAGUGGGGAAUAUUGGGCAAUGGGCGCAAGCCUGACCCAGCAACGCCGCGUGAAGGAAGAAGGCUUUCGGGUUGUAAACUUCUUUUAAGAGGGAAGAGCAGAAGACGGUACCUCUAGAAUAAGCCACGGCUAACUACGUGCCAGCAGCCGCAGUAA